rnacentral:rRNA from 1 species
UAAUACGUAGGUGGCAAGCGUUGUCCGGAUUUAUUGGGCGUAAAGCGAGCGCAGGCGGUUUCUUAAGUCUGAUGUGAAAGCCCCCGGCUCAACCGGGGAGGGUCAUUGGAAACUGGGAGACUUGAGUGCAGAAGAGGAGAGUGGAAUUCCAUGUGUAGCGGUGAAAUGCGUAGAUAUAUGGAGGAACACCAGUGGCGAAGGCGGCUCUCUGGUCUGUAACUGACGCUGAGGCUCGAAAGCGUGGGGAGCGAACAGGAUUAGAUACCCUGGUAGUCCACGCCGUAAACGAUGAGUGCUAAGUGUUGGAGGGUUUCCGCCCUUCAGUGCUGCAGCAAACGCAUUAAGCACUCCGCCUGGGGAGUACGACCGCAAGGUUGAA